UGAAAGAGACAGCAGGUGGAGGCUGAUAAGGAAGGAGAAAGCUGUUGUUUCAGCAUAAACAACCUGGUAACUGCUAAGCAGCAGUAAUGGGAAGAUAAAUGCAAGAAUUCUUUUUUAAAUUCAAAAUUUUAUGGCACAAACAUUAUACAUAUAUCGAUAUCAUCUAUCUAUCUACACACAUACAUAUAUGUAUAUAUGCACACACACACUGCAGUAAAGGUAAACCUUAGAAGGAAUUGCAUCAUUAAGUAUGUAAACAAACUAAAAUAAUGCAAUAUGGAUGCAAUAUACUGAAUGCAAAAAUGAGUAUAAAUAUGUAUAACUCUAUAUAGUUCAGAUGUUAAAAGAAAUGCAGGAGCGCUUAACAAACUUGCUAAAACAUAUUGGAAUUUAUUCCAAAGCCAGCUGGUGAAAAAUUAGUGAAAUCUCGUGGGGUGGGAUUAUUGUUUUUUGCUAACUAGAGAAAAAACUCCAACUUGGACACAACUGAACUGUGUUCAAUGUUGAUUACUCCCUUGUCAUUGUGUUUAGGAUUGUAGCCUAAGGCUGUGAUCCUAGGCACAUUUACUUGGAAUUCAGUCCAACUGACUACAUUCUGAUCUGUGUUUCAGCCCAAGAAGAGCAAAUAAGGUUGACUUACUGAGAAAUGAGGACCAAACCAAAUUCUCUUCUGCCUCUAUUUCUCUAGGAAGCUCUUCUUGAUCUUCAUCAAGGAUGCCCAAAGUGCAAAAAAAUACCUGGAAGAAAUGGAACGGCACCUUCACAUUUUCCUCCUCUCAGUAUCUCUCAAGUAUAAAAUUAAACACUCAGAAGAGUCAGGCCAACCAUCCGAUAA